rnacentral:rRNA from 1 species
ACUCAAUAGAUACCCAGGUAGUCCACGCCCUAAACGAUGUCGACUGGUUGUUGGGGGUUUGACACUCUCAGUAAACGAAAGCUAAACGCGUGAAGUCGACCGCCUGGGGAGUACGGCCGCAAGGUUAAAACUCAAAGGAAUUGACGGGGACCCGCACAAGCGGUGGAUUAUGUGGAUUAAUUCGAUGCAACGCGAAAAACCUUACCUACCCUUGACAUGUCCGGAAGGCUGCUGAAAGGCGGCUGUGCCCGAAAGGGAACUGGAACACAGGUGCUGCAUGGCUGUCGUCAGCUCGUGUCGUGAGAUGUUGGGUUAAGUCCCGCAACGAGCGCAACCCUUGUCAUUAGUUGCUACCCGCAAGGGAGCACUCUAAUGAGACUGCCGGUGACAAACCGGAGGAAGGUGGGGAUGACGUCAAGUCCUCAUGGCCCUUAUGGGUAGGGCUUCACACGUAAUACAAUGGCGCGUACAGAGGGUUGCCAAGGAGCGAUCUGGAGCCAAUCCCGUAAAAGCGCGUCGUAGUCCGGAUUGCAGUCUGCAACUCG